rnacentral:rRNA from 1 species
AUUGAACGCUGGCGGCAUGCCUUACACAUGCAAGUCGAACGGCAGCACGGGGGCAACCCUGGUGGCGGGUGGCGAACGGGUGAGUAACAUAUCGGAACAUACCCUAGAGUGGGGGAUAACGUAGCGAAAGUUACGCUAAUACCGCAUACGAUCUAAGGAUGAAAGUGGGGGAUCUUCGGACCUCAUGCUCAUGGAGUGGCCGAUAUCUGAUUAGCUAGUUGGUGAGGUAAAGGCUCACCAAGGCGACGAUCAGUAGCUGGUUUGAGAGAACGACCAGCCACACUGGAACUGAGACACGGUCCAGACUCCUACGGGAGCAGCAGUGGGGAAUUUUGGACAAUGGGGGCAACCCUGAUCCAGCAAUGCCGCGUGAGUGAAGAAGGCCU